CCAAUAGCGUACAUUAAAGUUGUUGCAGUUAAAAAGCUCGUAGUUGAAUUUCGGGGUCAGUAGGCUGGUCGUGCCACGGGUAUGUACUGGUCUCACUGAUUCCUCCUUCCUGAUGAACCGUAAUGCCAUUAAUUUGGUGUUGCGGGGAAACUGGACUGUUAUUUUGAAAAAAUUAGAGUGUUUAAAGCAGGCUAACGCCUGAACACAUUAGCAUGGAAUAAGGAAAUAGGACGCUCGAUCCUAUUUUGUUGGUUUCUAGGAUUGACGUAAUGAUUAAUAGGGAUAGUUGGGGGCAUUAGUAUUCAAUUGUCAGAGGUGAAAUUCUUGGAUUUAUUGAAGACUAACUACUGCGAAAGCAUUUGCCAAGGAUGUUUUCAUUAAUCAAGAACGAAAGUUAGGGGAUCGAAGACGAUCAGAUACCGUCGUAGUCUUAACCAUAAACUAUGCCGACUAGGGAUCGGAUGAUGUUAAUUUUUUAAUGACUCAUUCGGCGCCUUACG
rnacentral:rRNA from 1 species